CGACUGACUGGCUCGAUACUGACACUGAGGUGCGAAAGCGUGGGGAGCAAACGGGAUUAGAUACCCCGGUAGUCCACGCCGUAAACGAUGUCUACUAGCCGUUGGAGGACUUGAUCCUUUAGUGGCGCAGCUAACGCGAUAAGUAGACCGCCUGGGGAGUACGGUCGCAAGAUUAAAACUCAAAUGAAUUGACGGGGGCCCGCACAAGCGGUGGAGCAUGUGGUUUAAUUCGAAGCAACGCGAAGAACCUUACCUACUCUUGACAUCCAGUGAACUUUUGAGAGAUCAAUUGGUGCCUUCGGGAACACUGAGACAGGUGCUGCAUGGCUGUCGUCAGCUCGUGUUGUGAAAUGUUGGGUUAAGUCCCGUAACGAGCGCAACCCUUGUCCUUAGUUACCAUCAUUAAGUUGGGGACUCUAAGGAGACUGCCGGUGACAAACCGGAGGAAGGCGGGGACGACGUCAAGUCAUCAUGGCCCUUACGAGUAGGGCUACACACGUGCUACAAUGGCAUGUACAAAGGGUUGCCAAGCCGCGAGGUGGAGCUAAUCCCAUAAAGCAUGUCGUAGUCCGGAUUGGAGUCUGCAACUCGACUCCAUGAAGUCGGAAUCGCUAGUAAUCGUGAAUCAGAAUGUCACGGUGAAUACGUUCCCGGGCCUUGUACACACCGCCCGUCACACCAUGGGAGUGGGUUGCUCCAGAAGUAGAUAGCUUAACCUUCGGGAGGGCGUUUACCACGGAGUGAUUCAUGACUGGGGUGAAGUCGUAACAAGGUAA
rnacentral:rRNA from 1 species